rnacentral:sRNA from 1 species
GCCAGGCGUGGUGACUCAUGCCUGUAAUCCCAGCACUUUGGGAGGCCGAGGCGGGUGGAUCACCUGAGGUCAGGAGUUCAAGACCAGCCUGGCCAACAUGGUGAAACCCCGUCUCUA